CUCUGCUAUAUUGUGGGACUUGUGGGAACUGGCUGGCACACAGUGGAUCUCUUCCUUAGCUACCUCCUGGUAGAAAUUAAUCUCUCGGAAGUGCCUCUUCACAGCCAGGUGACAUGUCAGAGCCACUCAGGAAAGGCUUACCCCAACUCCUGAACCAAGCAGCCUCCCAGAACUUAGCUCCUGGGAAGAACUUCUCAAGACCAUUCUCAUUUCAACAAAGCUCUGGUAUAACAGGGCACCUGGGGGGGGGGGGGGGAAGGAACGACGACCACAGGUUGUUCUACUAGUUUGGGGAAAAGAAUGUUGUUCUACUAGUUUCCCGGGAUUGCUGCAAUUGGCCGGAAACCACCGGGAGAAGAAGGAAGGAGAAAUAAAGGAAGAUUAAUCACCUAUAGUUAAGUAAAUUACAUACAUUUUUUUGGGGUCAUCAACAGGUUGUAAGUAAGCUCUCUAUAUACCAAUUUUGGAAAAUCUUGAACUGGAA
rnacentral:lncRNA from 1 species